CCUACGGGUGGCAGCAGUGGGGAAUAUUGGACAAUGGGGGCAACCCUGAUCCAGCCAUGCCGCGUGUGUGAAGAAGGCCCUCGGGUUGUAAAGCACUUUCAGUGAGGAAGAACGCCUGGUGGUUAAUACCCAUCAGGAAAGACAUCACUCACAGAAGAAGCACCGGCUAACUCCGUGCCAGCAGCCGCGGUAAUACGGAGGGUGCGAGCGUUAAUCGGAAUUACCGGGCGUAAAGCGCGCGUAGGUGGCUUGAUAAGCCGGUUGUGAAAGCCCCGGGCUCAACCUGGGAACGGCAUCCGGAACUGUCAAGCUAGAGUGCAGGAGAGGAAGGUAGAAUUCCCGGUGUAGCGGUGAAAUGCGUAGAGAUCGGGAGGAAUACCAGUGGCGAAGGCGGCCUUCUGGACUGACACUGACACUGAGGUGCGAAAGCGUGGGUAGCAAACAGGAUUAGAUACCCUUGUAGUC
rnacentral:rRNA from 1 species